rnacentral:rRNA from 1 species
GACGAACGCUGGCGGCGUGCUUAACACAUGCAAGUCGAACGGAAAGGCCCUGCUUUUGUGGGGUGCUCGAGUGGCGAACGGGUGAGUAACACGUGAGUAACCUGCCCUUGACUUUGGGAUAACUUCAGGAAACUGGGGCUAAUACCGGAUAGGAGCUCCUGCUGCAUGGUGGGGGUUGGAAAGUUUCGGCGGUUGGGGAUGGACUCGCGGCUUAUCAGCUUGUUGGUGGGGUAGUGGCUUACCAAGGCUUUGACGGGUAGCCGGCCUGAGAGGGUGACCGGCCACAUUGGGACUGAGAUACGGCCCAGACUCCUACGGGAGGCAGCAGUGGGGAAUAUUGCACAAUGGGCGGAAGCCUGAUGCAGCAACGCCGCGUGCGGGAUGACGGCCUUCGGGUUGUAAACCGCUUUCGCCUGUGACGAAGCGUGAGUGACGGUAAUGGGUAAAGAAGCACCGGCUAACUACGUGCCAGCAGCCGCGGUGAUACGUAGGGUGCGAGCGUUGUCCGGAUUUAUUGGGCGUAAAGGGCUCGUAGGUGGUUGAUCGCGUCGGAAGUGUAAUCUUGGGGCUUAACCCUGAGCGUGCUUUCGAUACGGGUUGACUUGAGGAAGGUAGGGGAGAAUGGAAUUCCUGGUGGAGCGGUGGAAUGCGCAGAUAUCAGGAGGAACACCAGUGGCGAAGGCGGUUCUCUGGGCCUUUCCUGACGCUGAGGAGCGAAGGCGUGGGGAGCGAACAGGCUUAGAUACCCUGGUAGUCCACGCUGUAAACGGUGGGUACUAGGUGUGGGGUCCAUUCCACGGGUUCCGUGCCGUAGCUAACGCUUUAAGUACCCCGCCUGGGGAGUACGGCCGCAAGGCUAAAACUCAAAGGAAUUGACGGGGCCCCGCACAAGCGGCGGAGCAUGCGGAUUAAUUCGAUGCAACGCGUAGAACCUUACCUGGGUUUGACAUGGAUCGGGAGUGCUCAGAGAUGGGUGUGCCUCUUUUGGGGUCGGUUCACAGGUGGUGCAUGCCUGUCGUCAGCUCGUGUCGUGAGAUGUUGGGUUAAGUCCCGCAACGAGCGCAACCCUUGUUCACUGUUGCCAGCACGUUAUGGUGGGGACUCAGUGGAGACCGCCGGGGUCAACUCGGAGGAAGGUGGGGAUGACGUCAAGUCAUCAUGCCCCUUAUGUCCAGGGCUUCACGCAUGCUACAAUGGCUGGUACAGAGAGUGGCGAGCCUGUGAGGGUGAGCGAAUCUCGGAAAGCCGGUCUCAGUUCGGAUUGGGGUCUGCAACUCGACCUCAUGAAGUCGGAGUCGCUAGUAAUCGCAGAUCAGCAACGCUGCGGUGAAUACGUUCCCGGG